rnacentral:rRNA from 1 species
GACGAACGCUGGCGGCGUGCUUAACACAUGCAAGUCGAACGGAAAGGCCCUGCUUUUGUGGGGUGCUCGAGUGGCGAACGGGUGAGUAACACGUGAGUAACCUGCCCUUGACUUUGGGAUAACUUCAGGAAACUGGGGCUAAUACCGGAUAGGAGCUCCUGCUGCAUGGUGGGGGUUGGAAAGUUUCGGCGGUUGGGGAUGGACUCGCGGCUUAUCAGCUUGUUGGUGGGGUAGUGGCUGACCAAGGCUUUGACGGGUAGCCGGCCUGAGAGGGUGACCGGCGACAUUGGGACUGAGAUAGGGACCAGACGGCUACGGGAGGCAGCAGUGGGGAAUAUUGCAGAAUGGGCGGAAGCCUGAUGCAGCAACGCCGCGUGCGGGAUGACGGGCUUCGGGUUGUAAACCGCUGUCGCCUGUGACGAAGCGUGAGUGACGGUAAUGGGUAAAGAAGCACCGGCUAACUACGUG